AGGGACAAACCCGGGAAACUGGGGCUAAUACCCGAUAGGCGAGGGCGCCUGGAAUGGUUCUUCACCCAAAAGGCUUUGGAAGCAUGCUUUUCAAAGUCGCCUAGGGAUGGGGCCGCGUCCGAUCAGGUUGUUGGUGAGGUAACGGCUCACCAAGCCUAUAACCGGUACGGGCCGUGAGAGCGGUAGCCCGGAGAUGGGCACUGAUACAAGGGCCCAUGCCCUACGGGGCGCACCAGUCUCUAAAACUCCGCAAUGCACGAAAGUGUGACUGGGCUACCCCGAGUGCCGUCCGCUGACGAUGGAUUUUCCUCUGUAUAACUAACCGGGGGAAUAAGGAGAGGGCAACACUGGUGUCAGCCGACGAGGAUAAUACCAGCUCUCCGAGUGGUAGGGAUGAUUAUUGGGCUUAAAGCGUCCGUAGCCGGUUUAGCAAGUCUCCUCUUAAAUACAGCGACCUAAUCGUUGAGCCGUGGGAUAUACUACUGGGCUA
rnacentral:rRNA from 1 species